AGCAACUUCUACCCAUUGGUUGGUCAGAUUUAACCCAUUUUGACACGACUAAGAUUCAUAGUUGCCAGAGAAAGCAAUGCGACUUACCAUGCUGAUGGGUUUUGCAUACCAUCUGCAUAACAAACACUCAAUGUAUCACAUGA
ensembl:snoRNA snoRNA:Psi18S-1347b snoRNA:Psi18S-1347b